UAGGGAAUCUUCCGCAAUGGGCGAAAGCUUGACGGAGCAACGCCGCGUGAGUGAUGAAGGUCUUCGGAUCGUAAAACUCUGUUAUUAGGGAAGAACAAAUGUGUAAGUAACUAUGCACGUCUUGACGGUACCUAAUCAGAAAGCCACGGCUAACUACGUGCCAGCAGCCGCGGUAAUACGUAGGUGGCAAGCGUUAUCCGGAAUUAUUGGGCGUAAAGCGCGCGUAGGCGGUUUUUUAAGUCUGAUGUGAAAGCCCACGGCUCAACCGUGGAGGAUCAUUGGAAACUGGAAAACUUGAGUGCAGAAGAGGAAAGUGGAAUUCCAUGUGUAGCGGUGAAAUGCGCAGAGAUAUGGAGGAACACCAGUGGCGAAGGCGACUUUCUAGUCUGUAACUGACGCUGAUGUGCGAAAGCGUGGGGAUCAAACAGG
rnacentral:rRNA from 1 species